AGGACAAACGCUGGCGGCGUACUUAAGACAUGCAAGUCGAACGGGCGCUUCACCUUCGGGUGGGUGUGCUAGUGGCGGACGGGUGAGUAACGCAUAGGAACCUGUCAUCAAGAGGGGGAUAACGCUGGGAAACCGGCGCUAAUACCGCAUGUGGUCAUGAAAAUGAAGAAAGCAGCAAUGCGCUUGAUGAGGGGCCUGCGUCCGAUUAGCUUGUUGGUGGGGUAAAGGCCUACCAAGGCAUCGAUCGGUAGCUGGUCUGAGAGGAUGGUCAGCCACACUGGGACUGAGACACGGCCCAGACUCCUACGGGAGGCAGCAGUUAGGAAAUUUUCCCAAUGGGCGCAAGCCUGAGGGAGUAACGCCGCGUGGAGGAUGACGGCUUUCGGGUUGUAAACUCUUUUCUGUGGAAGAGUAGAAGACGGUACCGCAGGAAUAAGCCUCGGCUAACUACGCGCCAGCAGCCGC
rnacentral:rRNA from 1 species